UACAGAGACUGCAAGCGUUAUUCGGAUUCACUGGGCGUAAAGGGUGCGCAGGCGGUUGGGUGUGUCAGAUGUGAAAUCCCGAGGCUUAACCUCGGAACUGCGUCUGAAACUACUCGACUAGAGUACUGGAGAGGGUAACGGAAUUCACGGUGUAGCAGUGAAAUGCGUAGAUAUCGUGAGGAACACCAGAGGCGAAGGCGGUUACCUGGACAGUUACUGACGCUCAGGCACGAAAGCAUGGGGAGCAAACAGG
rnacentral:rRNA from 1 species